GUGAACCAGCGGAGGGAUCAUAAAAGAGUUUCUAAAAAGAACUCCCAAACCCAUGUGAACUUACCUUCUGUUGCCUCGGCAGGCAGGUUUGCGCCUGUUACCUCGUAGGACCCUAUCCUGUGUAAGAUUUUACCCGGAGAGACCUUACCCGGUAGAGACGCGGGCCUACCUGCCGGUGGCCUAGAAAAUAAAAAUUCUGGUUUUUUUUAAUGGUAUUCUGAUGAGUAGAGAAAAUUUAAGUUAAAAACUUUCAACAACGGAUCUCUUGGUUCUGGCAUCGAUGAAGAACGCAGCGAAAUGCGAUAAGUAAUGUGAAUUGCAGAAUUCAGUGAAUCAUCGAAUCUUUGAACGCACAUUGCGCCCAUUAGUAUUCUAGUGGGCAUGCCUGUUCGAGCGUCAUUUCAACCCUUAAGCCUUCUGUUGCUUAGUGUUGAGAGCCUACAGCUUUCUGCCGUAGCUCUUUAAAAAUAGUGGCGGAGUCGGUUUAUACUCUAGACGUAGUAGAUUCUAUCUCGCCUAUAGAUGAGCCGGUCUUCUGCCGUAAACUAUAUAUAACUUUCUUAUAAGGUUGACCUCGGAUCAGGUAGGAAUACCCGCUGAACUUA
rnacentral:rRNA from 1 species